UGGGCAACCUGCCCCUAGCUCUGGGAUAACUGCGGGAAACUGUAGCUAAUACCGGAUGUGACACGAGACUGCAUGGUCUUCGUGUGGAAAGAUUUAUCGGCUAGGGAUGGGCCCGCGGUCUAUCAGCUUGUUGGUGGGGUAAUGGCUCACCAAGGCGACGACGGAUAACCGGCCUGAGAGGGCGACCGGUCACACUGGGACUGAGACACGGCCCAGACCUCCUACGGGA
rnacentral:rRNA from 1 species